rnacentral:lncRNA from 1 species
UCACAUGGUGGAUUUGUGGUUUUAGGUUUAGUUUUCUCCCUUUGAUAACAAAAGACCUUAAGGAUUUUGGAUCAAUCAAUUCACCAACUCAUUUUGAGAUUUUUACCCCGAACUACGAGGUUUUGAUCCUAAUCUUUUUCAAGAUGGUACGUAGGCAAUGGGUUUAUCCAUCCAAACACAAAAUGUAAAUAAACUUGUAUAUUUUUUUCUCAUCUCUUCAAUCAUGUUUG